CUCAUCUCUCUCACCCCAGCCCCCGAGGGCAGGAAAUGUCGCCUUACCCACAGCCCUAACCCUGGCAGAGGACCCACGUCAUGGAAAGCCGUAAGACACUCGUCCCUCCUCCGGAAGCCAGGCCCCUGAAGGGUGACUCCUGACACCAGCACUGCGGUUGUAUAGCAGCAGGUGCAGAGUGCACUGUGGACGGUGCCAAGACCACGUAGGGCAUGAAGAGGAGCCUCAGCCCACAGUUCACAUCUUUCCAGGUAGAAGACAUCACGGGGUUACAGAAGCAUGCUGUGUUCCUACAUUCAUGAAAACUGACCUCGGCCCUGCCCAGAACAUGGAAGAAACAAUGUUUGAGGAGAAUAUGCAUGGAUCAGACUUUGUGGUACCCAAACAAGCAGAGAGAGGGUGAACCGGGGCCCUGCAGGUCUGACCUCGCCCAUCCGAAGCCUUGGACCUCAGCCACCCACACCGGGAGGCUUCUCUUAAAAGGAGACUGCUUGUUUUUCACCAUAUAAAUAAGGUACGUUCUUUAACAAACAUACUGAGAAGAUAAGCAAACAGGAGACAUGCCGUCCAAGUUCCCACCCCUUGGCUGUAGAGUUACACUUCCAUAUAGUUUUCUGAG